rnacentral:rRNA from 1 species
UACAGAGACUGCAAGCGUUAUUCGGAUUCACUGGGCGUAAAGGGCUCGUAGGCGGCCAACUAAGUCAGACGUGAAAUCCCUCAGCUUAACUGGGGAACUGCGUCUGAUACUGGAUGGCUUGGAUUCGGGAGAGGAAUGCGGAAUUCCAGGUGUAGCGGUGAAAUGACGUAGAUAUCUGGAGGAACACCGGUGGCGAAGGCGGCAUUCUGGACCGAUAUUGACGCUGAGGAGCGAAAGCCAGGGGAGCAAACGGG